rnacentral:misc_RNA from 1 species
UAGGUAGAACCUUUCUGACCAC